rnacentral:rRNA from 1 species
CCUACGGGUGGCUGCAGUGGGGAAUAUUGCACAAUGGGGGAAACCCUGAUGCAGCGACGCCGCGUGAGUGAAGAAGUAAUUCGGUACGUAAAGCUCUAUCAGCAGGGAAGAAAAUGACGGUACCUGAGUAAGAAGCACCGGCUAACUACGUGCCAGCAGCCGCGGUAAUACGUAGGGGGCAAGCGUUAUCCGGAUUUACUGGGUGUAAAGGGAGCGUAGACGGUGAGGCAAGUCUGGAGGGAAAUGCCGCGGCUUAACAGCGGAACUGCUUUUGAAACUGGCGAACUAGAGUGCGGGAGGGGUAAGCGGAAUUCCUAGUGUAGGGGUGAAAUGCGUAGAUAUUAGGAGGAACACCAGUGGCGAAGGCGGCUUACUGGAACGUAACUGACGUUGAGGCUCGAAAGCGUGGGGAGCAAACAGGAUUAGAUACCCGAGUAGUC